UCCUGGCUCAGGAUGAACGCUGGCGGCGUGCCUAACACAUGCAAGUCGAACGAAGCACUGCGGAUGGAGAUUCGUCAAAAUCUGCUUUGACUUAGUGGCGGACGGGUGAGUAACGUGUGAGCAACCUGCCUUUCAGAGGGGGACAACAGUUGGAAACGACUGCUAAUACCGCAUAAUGUAUUGGAAGGGCAUCCUUUUAAUACCAAAGGAGCAAUCCGCUGAAAGAUGGGCUCACAUCUGAUUAGCUAGUUGGUGGGGUAACGGCCUACCAAGGCUGCGAUCAGUAGCCGGACUGAGAGGUUGAACGGCCACAUUGGGACUGAGAUACGGCCCAGACUCCUACGGGAGGCAGCAGUGGGGAAUAUUGGGCAAUGGGCGAAAGCCUGACCCAGCAACGCCGCGUGAAGGAAGAAGGUCUUCGGAUUGUAAACUUCUUUUAUGAGGGACGAAGGACGUGACGGUACCUCAUGAAUAAGCCACGGCUAACUACGUGCCAGCCGCAGC
rnacentral:rRNA from 1 species